UUCGUGCCAGGCAGCCGCGCUAAUACGUAGGUGGCAAGCGUUAUCCGGAAUUAUUGGGCGUAUAGCGCGCGUAGGCGGUUUUUUAAGUCUGAUGUGAAAGCUCACGGCUCAACCGUGGAGGGUCAUUGGAAACUGGAAAACUUGAGUGCAGAAGAGGAAAGUGGAAUUGCAUGUGUAGCGGUGAAAUGCGCAGAGAUAUGGAGGAACACCAGUGGCGAAGGCGACUUUCUGGUCUGUAACUGACGCUGAUGUGCGAAAGCGUGGAGAUCACACAGGAUUAGAUACCCUGGUAGUUCACGCCGUAAACGAUGAGUGGUAAGUGUUAGGGGGUUUCCGCCCCUUAGUGCUGCAGCUAACGCAUUAAGCACUCCGCCUGGGGAGUACGACCGCAAGGUUGAAACUCAAAGGAAUUGACGGGGACCCGCACAAGCGGUGGAGCAUGUGGUUUAAUUAGAAGCAACGCGAAGAACCUUACCAAAUCUUGACAUCCUUUGACCCUUCUAGAGAUAGAAGUUUCCCCUUCGGGGGCCAAAGUGACAGGUGGUGCAUGGUUGUCGUCAGCUCGUGUCGUGAGAUGUUGGGUUAAGUCCCGCAACGAGCGCAACCCUUAAGCUUAGUUGCCAUCAUUAAGUUGGGCACUCUAAGUUGACUGCCGGUGACAAACCGGAGGAAGGUGGGGAUGACGUCAAAUCAUCAUGCCCCUUAUGAUUUGGGCUACACACGUGCUACAAUGGACAAUACAAAGGGCAGCGAAACCGCGAGGUCAAGCAAAUCCCAUAAAGUUGUUCUCAGUUCGGAUUGUAGUCUGCAACUCGACUACAGAAGCUGGAAUCGCUAGUAAUGUCAGCAGCAGCGAUAUCGUGACAGCUCGCG
rnacentral:rRNA from 1 species